rnacentral:SRP_RNA from 1 species
GCGGCGGGUAGGAUCGGGAGCUAGCCCUGCCCCUCGCCUCCGUAUGGGCUAUAGGAGGGGUCAGUAACCUCGGGGUGGGCGGGGGUAGUCUGGGGGUUAGUCGCGUCGGGCCCCGUCGAUGGCCCGCCCCGCGGGGCCGGCGGUCGGGUGCCUCCGCCCUCGUAGGGGGGCGCUGGUCCGUUUGCCGGGCGAAUCUGGCCAGGCCCGGGAGGGAGCGACCUAAGUCUGGGCGUUCGGCGCUCGCGGGAUCCGGGCCUGAGGGGUGUGGCGCGGGGCUGCCCUUGGGCGAGCCCGCUAUCCCUGGGGGGCCGCCGC